GACCGCGUAGCUCAGUUGGAAAGAGCAUUGGGCUAGUAUUCCAAAGGUCGUAGGUUCGAAUCCCACCGUGGCCG